UACGGAGGGGGCUAGCGUUGUUCGGAAUUACUGGGCGUAAAGCGCGCGUAGGCGGAUCUGCAAGUCGGGGGUGAAAUCCCGAGGCUCAACCUCGGAACUGCCUUCGAUACUGCGGGUCUCGAGUGUGGAAGAGGUGAGUGGAAUUCCGAGUGUAGAGGUGAAAUUCGUAGAUAUUCGGAGGAACACCAGUGGCGAAGGCGGCUCACUGGUCCAUUACUGACGCUGAGGUGCGAAAGCGUGGGGAGCAAACAGG
rnacentral:rRNA from 1 species